GGGGGGAGCCCAGGAUCCUGGGCUGUGUCCCCCGUGCCCUGGGCUCGGGGGCCUGCACCGCUGGAAUCGCGCUCCCAGGGGGGUGCAGCCCGCU
rnacentral:pre_miRNA from 1 species